AAACUAAAUCAUCACCCAAGGUCCUAAUAUAAAAUAUUCUUUAUUUUACAUUCUAGCCUUUCCAAACUACUUUCAGACAGAUUUCAUGUACUCUUUCCAAGUCCCUUAUGAUGGGAGUCACUGCUUUUGAAUUUAUCUUUGUGUAAGUGUGGGAUUCCAUGCAGUGGGUUUGUUUAAACUAAAAUAUGGGCUGGCAGCAUAUCUCUCCUGGGUUUCCCUCUGGCUUCUUGCACAUUUCUCUGUACAGUAUAUCAGAAAAAGCCAGACUGGGAGAGAUGGCUCUCUCUUCCAACGAAGCAUUUAUAAAUCAAUUAAUCAAUCAAUAUACAUAUAUGAUAUAUAGAGAUACACAUCUAUAUAUAUCAUGGAUUAUUAUCUAAGACUCAUCAACAACCUUUUUACAAAAGAUGUAAAACAUUCAUAUAAUGGAAGCUACCAUUCACCGAGAGCUUCUGUUAGUCUGAUGCAGUGCUAAGUUCUGUAUACAUUUUUUAUUUUCAGGUAACUUCACAACACCCUAUGACGAGGUAUUAUUAUUUCCACUUGACGGUGGAGGAAAUGGAAACUGAAAGUAGUUAAGUAACUAUCCCAUGAUUCGAGUGCACACAAGUGUUGGAAUUGGGCUGUAAAUCUAAGUCUCCCAAGUUCCAACGCCUUUUUGGAUGUGACAAUCACUGUAGAAGUAAGAAGCACUAAGUCACGGAGCCAUCAUUAGAAGGCAGACCAUAGGAACUAAAGUCACACAGUCACUGGAUGGCAGUUUUCCCUGGAACUGGACUUGAUCCUUGGAAAGAGAUUCUUAGACUGCCAGUGAGCAAAACCCCUUCGUCUUACCUACAGUGGAUACGAGGUGGAGCAAUAUGCCGAGAUGGAGGAGAAGGGGGAAGAAAGAUACUUCUAGUCAGGAUGCAUCAGCUCCAUAAUUGGCUGGGCCCAGUACAACACAGAAACACGAGGCCUCUUGUUCAAAACUUAGGAAUUUCAAGAUGGCAGCAAUGGAGCAUUAAUCCAGAUGCAGGGUCUAGUGUACCUGCAUAGGUCGGACGCCUAUGAAGCCAGCCUAGCUCCUGAUCCAAUGCCCUUUAUGACGCCCUGACUUCCCCCUUGUUCUUCUUCCCAUUCCCAGCCUCCAUUAGGUAGUAAGUGAUAGAAAAAUAAAUGACAAUAUGGGUUUGAAAGACUAUGAUGAGAUUCUUAAGAAGAAACUAUUCAACUCCUAGAAAGAAAGCCAAGAAAGAAUAGGAGUUGAAGACCAUUUCCUCUCUUUCUAACCCAGUGUGCUCUUCACUUCCAAAAAACUGCUGUGUGUGCAGAAAAACAGCUCAGGAUAUGGAAUUCAGGGGGUUAGUAUUUUUUCGUUAAAAAAAAAUCACAAGUAGGGUUUUCUGAGUAAAAGUCAAUAAACUGUAGUAGGUGGGCAAGAGGAACUGUCCCUGACCUCAAGAAACAGCUUAGGACAAUCCAUACGUCUUCGUUCUUGAGUGAGUUACACAGAAAGACCAUGCAGAUCCAACAAGAUAA
rnacentral:lncRNA from 1 species